rfam:Schistosoma mansoni strain Puerto Rico chromosome 3, complete genome
GCACUGCUGGAGAGUCCCACGAUAGGACGAAACGGCCGUCCAGUGC